AAGUCGUAACAAGGUUUCCGUAGGUGAACCUGCGGAAGGAUCAUUACAAAUUAUGGCGAACUUCGCGUUUCGCGAGGUUUUGCGUCCACUUUUUCGUAUUUAAAACAUCCCACUCUUUAAAAAAAAAAAAAAUUAUCUAAUGAUAAAUAAAAAAGAUCACUUUCAACAACGGAUCUCUUGGUUCUC
rnacentral:misc_RNA from 1 species